rnacentral:rRNA from 1 species
GACGAACGCUGGCGGCGUGCUUAACACAUGCAAGUCGAACGGAAAGGCCCUGCUUUUGUGGGGUGCUCGAGUGGCGAACGGGUGAGUAACACGUGAGUAACCUGCCCUUGACUUUGGGAUAACUUCAGGAAACUGGGGCUAAUACCGGAUAGGAGCUCCUGCUGCAUGGUGGGGGUUGGAAAGUUUCGGCGGUUGGGGAUGGACUCGCGGCUUAUCAGCUUGUUGGUGGGGUAGUGGCUUACCAAGGCUUUGACGGGUAGCCGGCCUGAGAGGGUGACCGGCCACAUUGGAACUGGAAUGCGGCCCAGACUCCUACGGGACGCAGCAGUGGAGAAUAUUGCACAAUGGGCGGAAGCCUGAUGCAGCCACGCCGCGUGCGGGAUGACAGCAUUCGGGUUGUAAACCGCUUUCGCCUGUGACGAAGCGUGAGUGACGGUAAUGGGUAAAGAAGCACCGGCUAACUACGUG